GACGAACGCUGGCGGCGUGCUUAACACAUGCAAGUCGAACGAAGUGGCGAACGGGUGAGUAACGCGUAAUAAACCUGCCCUUCAGAGGGUGACAACUGUUGAAAACGACUGCUAAUACCGCAUACUGUAGGAGGGGAUUGCGUCUGAUUAACUAGUUGGCGGGGUAACGUCCCACCAAGGAGAUGAUCAGUAGCCGGUCUGAGGGGGUGGACGGCCACAUGUGGACUGAGAAACGGCCCCGACUCCUACGGGAGGCAGCAGUGGGGAAUCUUCCGCAAUGGACGAGAGUCUGACGGAGCAAGGCCGCGUUAGUGAUGACGGCCUUCGGGUUGUAAAGCUCUGUUAAUCGGGACGCGGUACCGGAAUAGAAAGCAACGGCUAACUACGUGCCAGCAGCCGCGGUAAUUC
rnacentral:rRNA from 1 species